rnacentral:rRNA from 1 species
UACAGAGGGUGCAAGCGUUGUUCGGAAUUAUUGGGCGUAAAGGGCGCGCAGGCGGCCACGCACGUCCGUUGUGAAAUCGCCCGGCUCAACUGGGCGGGGUCGGCGGAUACGGCGUGGCUGGAGCAAGCUAGGGGGUAGUGGAAUUCCCGGUGUAGUGGUGGAAUGCGUAGAUAUCGGGAGGAACACCAGUGGCGAAGGCGGCUACCUGGGGCUUUGCUGACGCUGAGGCGCGAAAGCGUGGGGAGCGAUCCGG